AAACCAACCGGGAUUGCCUUAGUAACGGCGAGUGAAGCGGCAAAAGCUCAAAUUUGAAAUCUGGUACCUUCGGUGCCCGAGUUGUAAUUUGGAGAGGGCAACUUUGGGGCCGUUCCUUGUCUAUGUUCCUUGGAGCAGGACGUCAUAGAGGGUGAGAAUCCCGUGUGGCGAGGAGUGCGGUUCUUUGUAAAGUGCCUUCGAAGAGUCGAGUUGUUUGGGAAUGCAGCUCUAAGUGGGUGGUAAAUUCCAUCUAAAGCUAAAUAUUGGCGAGAGACCGAUAGCGAACAAGUACAGUGAUGGAAAGAUGAAAAGAACUUUGAAAAGAGAGUGAAAAAGUACGUGAAAUUGUUGAAAGGGAAGGGCAUUUGAUCAGACAUGGUGUUUUGUGCCCUCUGCUCCUUGUGGGUAGGGGAAUCUCGCAUUUCACUGGGCCAGCAUCAGUUUUGGUGGCAGGAUAAAUCCAUAGGAAUGUAGCUUGCCUCGGUAAGUAUUAUAGCCUGUGGGAAUACUGCCAGCUGGGACUGAGGACUGCGACGUAAGUCAAGGAUGCUGGCAUAAUGGUUAUAUGCCGC
rnacentral:rRNA from 1 species